rnacentral:rRNA from 1 species
GAUGAACGCUGGCGGCGUGCCUAAUACAUGCAAGUCGAGCGAACAGACGAGGAGCUUGCUCCUCUGACGUUAGCGGCGGACGGGUGAGUAACACGUGGAUAACCUACCUAUAAGACUGGGAUAACUUCGGGAAACCGGAGCUAAUACCGGAUAAUAUAUUGAACCGCAUGGUUCAAUAGUGAAAGACGGUUUUGCUGUCACUUAUAGAUGGAUCCGCGCCGCAUUAGCUAGUUGGUAAGGUAACGGCUUACCAAGGCAACGAUGCGUAGCCGACCUGAGAGGGUGAGCGGCCACACGGGAACUGAGCCACGGUCCAGACUACUACGGGAGGAAGCAGUAGGGAAUUUUCCGCAAUGGGCGAAAGCCUGACGGAGCAACGCCGCGUGAGUGAUGAAGGUCUUCGGAUCGUAAAACUCUGUUAGUAGGGAAGAACAAAGGUGUAAGUAACUAUGCACGUCUUGACGGUACCUAAUCAGAAAGCCACGGCUAACUACGUG